AGAAGAGAAGAGAAGAGAAGAGAAGAGAAGAGAAGAGAAGAGAAGAGAAGAGAAGAGAAGAGAAGAGGAGAAACAGUGCCCGCUCUCAGACAGCUUACACUCGUUGGGAGGGCAGACAACACGAGUAGCUGCCCUCCGAAGGUCACCCUAGGCUCUAGCAGGCUCCAUACCAAAUUGGACAGACUUCACGGAAGAGUCCAAGGGUGGCUGCUGGGGCAAUGUCAACAGCAACUGGGAACUUUUGGCAAGUUCACAUACCACUGAGAUUUGAAGGGGAAAGAACCUACCCACCUACAGAAGGUUGCUAAGAACCAGAUGCAAAUUCUACACUUGAUGAAGGUUUAUGUGGACAAAGAACAAGUGGAGUGGGAUGAGAGGCCAAUUUAGAUUUUAUAUGGGUUACUUUGGUGAAGUAGUCUAUAUGUGUAAUGGGAUAGUUAGAUGGAGCAGUGACUAUGGUGCUGGGGCAGGAAGACUGGGUGAGUCAUUUAACUUGUUUGCCUUAGUUUCCACAUCUGUAAAAUGAA